UCAGGACUUCGUGCGGGUUGCCGACAGCUGGGUCGGUGGCCAACUUCCGCCGAAGAUCCUCUACGAACCGAGUAGUAAGAGUCCUCUCGGAGCGACUCUUACUAGGUCCCGUCUUGGGACGGGAACUCUGUUUUUUCUCCCCAGAUGGAGAAUAGAUGGACCCAGAUUCAUCCGCUCUUUCACGGAUGGUGGUGGUCCUAUGACUCCUCGCUUGUUCGAGGUUAG
rnacentral:lncRNA from 1 species